ensembl:lncRNA
CAAAAACCAACCAAACAAAAUCUAAACACAUCACAUAAUUCAUAAAUGAAACUUUAAGUUUUUCUUGAAAAUCUCCCAGGAAAUAUGGCUUCUGUGGUGUGGCCUUCCCAUGAGCUCCAUGGUUAUUCUUAGAACUACUAAAUCUCUCCAUCUGGUUGUCUUAUAACUCUUCCAUCUCCAUAUGGCCCAAAGAGAACUCACAUCUUCCCCAUCUGGUCAACAUUGGCCAUGAUUUUUGGCUAACUGGGGAAUUUGGAGAAGUUGAGAAGUUGGAAAUAUACUUCCCAGAGUCCUUUGCAACUAGGAAUACAUGGGUAGUGUAGGCUGGGCUUGGCAAUGAUGAGCCUGCAUGGGACUUUGCUGAGCUGCAGCAUCUGUAAGGGGCCUCCACAAGUCCUGGGGUCCAGCAGUACCAGUGGCUUAUCCUGGGCAAGCUGCAAUGUCUGCCCCAGGGACCUGGUGGCAUGUAUCUUCACACUGGGAGUUGCAUAGAGCUUCUGGCUGCAGGACCUCUGCACAGAGCUUCUGGUCCUCCUGCAGACAAUGGGAGCUGCUUCAUGUUUUCAUAAAUCCUUCUUUGCCUGAACUGAUGGUGUGGAUUCUGUUCUUCACAGCUGAGAACCUUGAUGAUUACAUACCCCUCUGCAGGCUUGCUGCUCCUCCAUGUCAGUAAUGACACCCCACCCCUUCACUUGUUCAGGAGCUGUGUGGCCUUGGACAAGUUAUCAUACCUCUCUGGGCCUUCAUUUUUUCACCUGUUAAUAAAAGAUUAAUCAGCUUAGCCAGAGCCCCACCAUUCCAUCUGUAAGUUCACACGGAUCCCAGGGAACAGCUGUGAGACCCAAACCAGCUCUGCUUUACGUGGAUCCCAGCCAGGGCUCUGCCCUGACCCCAGAGGCUUCUGCAUACCCAUGCAAGCUAAAGGCCUGCCCAGAAAAGAACUGCACAGGUACACAGUCUUCAGCCAGAGGCCUGCCAUACCAUUGGCCACAGCCAAGGACCUACCUGGAAAAGAGCUACACAGGCACACAAGCAAUACCCAGAGGCUCACCCUGAUACCAUUGAUAAGUAUGUGUAGACCCUAGCCAAAGCAUGUGAAGACAACAGGAACUGGGGUGCACAACCCUCAGCCAAAGGCCCUCCAAGACAACAACUACAUAGGGGCCCCAGUGAGAGGUACACCUAGAUACCAUCCCAAGUGUGCACAGGGCCCAGCCAGAAGCCCACCCAGACAACAGGUCAGCUCAGGGAUCCAGAAGGCCAGUACUCUGAACCCAGGUAUUGGUGUACUGGUGAACAGCAGAUUAAAGGCUGCUUGGUGGCUUGCUGAGAAUUCAAAACAAUUGGGUGAGCAAAAAGUCACCUCAACAAAGGCAAAGCAGGCUGCAUCUGUUGAAAUGAGAAGACAUGUAAAUAAAUCUCAAAACCAGACUUCCAGAUCACCUAAGGUAACCCCAAAG